rnacentral:lncRNA from 1 species
UCAAGCACGAUACAAACCAUGUAGUAGGAGUCCCCCAAGUCGCCGAGUUAGGGGAUCUACUGAAAGAUGUGACAGACAAGGUAAACAAUCAGAGCUCCAAGUAAUCAGUCCCAGAUCAGAAGUUUGAUUUUGAGUUCUAGCUGAUGGUUCUCAUUCCCCUUAUCUUGCAGGCAGCAUGGAGGAUAAAGAGAAGAAAAGGAGAAGAGAUGAUAUGAGAUACUUUUGCUUUUGAAAAAGUAACUUUCCACAGGCUUAUUCUUGAACUGGGCUGGAGGGUUUUCUGGUUACCUCUAGAGUAUAAGGUUGACUGAAGAAUUUGAGGGUCAAAACAAGUCCAUAAAAUCUAGAGUACGUUCGACCCUGCUGAUAUG